rnacentral:lncRNA from 1 species
CAGUGGUUGUAUGGGGCAAGGGAAAGUGGAAGUGACAGCUGCCUUUGGGAAAAGGAAGAGGAAGAGGAAGAGGAAGGACAAGAAGCAAAAACAACCCCCCCCCCCAGAAAACCCUCCUGUCUCUUCUUGGGAGCCAUAGACUUUGACAACAACUUCCCUGCAGAUCCCACGGAAUGGGAGCAACAGCAUAUCUUUCCACGUAGCCUCACACAAGGUGGCAGAGACCUCAGGGCUCCUUGGAAAAGACGGGUGAUACUACAUCUGGGUGAUGCAAAAGCACGGAGUCUUGCUCUGUCACCUAAGCUAGAGUGCAGUGGCAUGAUCUCGGCUUACUGCAACCUCUGCCUCCGGGUUCAGGCAAUUUUCCUGUCUCAGCCUCCUGAGUAGCUGGGAUUACAGGAAGAGGAAAUUGGGAUGCAAAUAGGUACUGAAGAUCGUGUGAAGACAGGGAGGAGGUUGUCAUCAGCAAGCCAAGGAGAGAAGCCUCAGAAGACACCAACCCUGCCAACACUGUGACCUCAGACUCCAGCCCCCAGAACUGUGAGAAAUACAUUUCUAUUAUUUAUGUCAAUCUGUGGUCCUCUGCUAUGGCAGCCCUGGUGAACUAACAUACAAUGCU